rnacentral:snoRNA from 1 species
AUCCCAAAUAAACUCUCGCAUGUUUAUUUGAUUCAUGGGAGGCCUACAAUGAGAAUGGGAGCUCGCUGAAAGCACCUUUUAUCCUCUGAGGUGUUUCAAUAGUAUCUCACCAGACACGU